GAUGUGUUUUUUUUUUUUUUUUUUUUUUUAAAUUUGCGUAUACAUAAGUUUAUUUGUUUUGUGGUGUGUGUUGAUCAAUAUUCUUUGGCGUGUGGUCUACAAGAACCUUGAUGUUUAUGCUAAUAUACAUCCAAGGCCUAGCUAACGAGUGAUGGACUAUGAUUCACGUUUACGUUAAACUAAAUAAACUUUUCUCAGUGCAGUCUAAGAUGCAUGGGCUACUGAUGAAAAUAACUUCAGCUGUGAUAGUUGCAUUUCUUAUAUGAGAGAUCACUUUCGUUUGAACUGACUGUUUAAUUCAUUCAUCUUAAAACUGAUGAGAGAAGAAUAUGGAUUGUGAAAAAAAAGUGCCAACUGAAACAGAGUAUGUUAGAAAGAAAGAUGAAAUCCAAAAUCUCGAUGACGCUGGAGAAGUGGUGAGAAGUAUCAUUGGUGAUAUAACUGCUGGCAACAUAGAACCAUCUAUCAAAUGUGUAGAAAACCAUAGUAAUUUGGAGAAGUUGG